CUGUAGGCCUGUGAAGGUGACUUGUAAAGGUUGCUGGAGGUAUCAGAAGUGCGAAUGUUGACAUGAGUAGCGAUAAAGUGGGUGAAAAGCCCGCUCGCCGAAAGCCCAAGGUUUCCUACGCAACGUUCAUCGGCGUAGGGUGAGUCGGCCCCUAAGGCGAGGCAGAAAUGCGUAGUCGAUGGGAAACAGGUUAAUAUUCCUGUACUUUGAUUCAAUGCGAUGUGGGGACGGAGAAGGUUAGGUUAGCAAACUGUUGGAAUAGUUUGUUUAAGCCAGUAGGUGGAAAGAGUAGGCAAAUCCGCUCUUUCUUAACACCGAGACGUGAUGACGAGUGUCUACGGACAUGAAGUGACCAAUACCACGCUUCCAGGAAAAGCCACUAAGCUUCAGUUGAAUCAGAACCGUACCGCAAACCGACACAGGUGGGCAGGAUGAGAAUUCUAAGGCGCUUGAGAGAACUCGGGAGAAGGAACUCGGCAAAUUGAUACCGUAACUUCGGGAGAAGGUAUGCCCUCUAAUGUUAAGGACUUGCUCCGUAAGCAUCUGAGGGUCGCAGAGAAUCGGUGGCUGCGACUGUUUAUUAAAAACACAGCACUCUGCUAACACGAAAGUGGACGUAUAGGGUGUGACGCCUGCCCGGUGCUGGAAGGUUAAUUGAAGAUGUGCAAGCAUCGGAUCGAAGCCCCAGUAAACGGCGGCCGUAACUAUAACGGUCCUAAGGUAGCGAAAUUCCUUGUCGGGUAAGUUCCGACCCGCACGAAUGGCGUAACGAUGGCCACACUGUCUCCUCCCGAGACUCAGCGAAGUUGAAAUGGUUGUGAAGAUGCAAUCUCCCCGCUGCUAGACGGAAAGACCCCGUGAACCUUUACUGUAGCUUUGCAUUGGACUUUGAAGUCACUUGUGUAGGAUAGGUGGGAGGCUUUGAAGCAGAGACGCCAGUCUCUGUGGAGCCGUCCUUGAAAUACCACCCUGGUGACUUUGAGGUUCUAACCCAGACCCGUUAUCCGGGUCGGGGACCGUGCAUGGUAGGCAGUUUGACUGGGGCGGUCUCCUCCCAAAGAGUAACGGAGGAGUUCGAAGGUUACCUAGGUCCGGUCGGAAAUCGGACUGAUAGUGCAAUGGCAAAAGGUAGCUUAACUGCGAGACCGACAAGUCGAGCAGGUGCGAAAGCAGGACAUAGUGAUCCGGUGGUUCUGAAUGGAAGGGCCAUCGCUCAACGGAUAAAAGGUACUCCGGGGAUAACAGGCUGAUUCCGCCCAAGAGUCCAUAUCGACGGCGGAGUUUGGCACCUCGAUGUCGGCUCAUCACAUCCUGGGGCUGUAGUCGGUCCCAAGGGUAUGGCUGUUCGCCAUUUAAAGUGGUACGUGAGCUGGGUUUAAAACGUCGUGAGACAGUUUGGUCCCUAUCUGCAGUGGGCGUUGGAAGUUUGACGGGGGCUGCUCCUAGUACGAGAGGACCGGAGUGGACGAACCUCUGGUGUACCGGUUGUUUCGCCAGAAGCAUAGCCGGGUAGCUAAGUUCGGAAGAGAUAAGCGCUGAAAGCAUCUAAGCGCGAAACUCGCCCAAAGAUGAGACUUCCCUUGUGGUUUAACCAUACUAAAGAGUCGUUCGAGACCAGGACGUUGAUAGGUUGGGUGUGGAAG
rnacentral:rRNA from 1 species